rnacentral:rRNA from 1 species
GAUGAACGCUGGCGGCGUGCCUAAUACAUGCAAGUCGAACGAACGGACGAGAAGCUUGCUUCUCUGAUGUUAGCGGCGGACGGGAGAGUAACACCUGGAUAACCUACCUAUGAGACUGGGAUACCUUCGGGAAACCGGGGCUCAUAACGGAUGAUAUUUUGACCCGAAUUGAUCACAAGUGAAAGUAGGUCUUGCUUUCACUUAUAGAUGGAUCAGCGCUGCAUUAUCUACUUGGUAAGGUAACGGCUUACCAAGGCUACGAUGCAUAGCCGACCUGAGAGGGUGAUCGGCCACACUGGAACUGAGACACGGUCCAGACACCUACGGGAGGCAGCAGUAGGGAAUCUUCCGCAAUGGGCGAAAGCCGGACAGAGCAACGCCGCGUGAGUGAUGAAGGUCUACGGAUCGGAAAACUCUGUUGUUAUGGAAGAACAUAUGUGUAAGUACCUGGGCACAUCUUGACGGUACCUAAUCAGAAAGCCACGGCUAACUACGUG